CGGCGGCGGUAUUGUCAAGGCGGGUUUGUCGUCUCCGCGGAGCCUUUGCUCCUUCUCGCCGUCCCGGGAGGGCAGCUCCGGAAUGGGGCUCGGCGGCGGCAACUUCUUCUCCGCUAGCAGCCUCGCCGGCCGUGAUCGCCCAGGAAGCCGUUAGUUAUUAUUAUUUUUUUGCUGUGGCGCCGGUGUCGCUCCGCCCUUCACCGCACUGAGAGCUAACACUAGAAGAAACCGCAGAAGUUCUUGAAACCUAAUUUCUGGAGUGCCCACAAGAGACCAUCAAAAUGUCAGGAGCUUCUGUAAAAGUUGCUGUUCGGGUUAGACCUUUUAAUUCCCGAGAGACCAGCAAAGAGUCCAAAUGCAUCAUCCAAAUGCAAGGCAAUUCAACCAGUAUCCUGAAUCCAAAGAAUCCUAAAGAAGCGCCAAAAUCCUUCAGCUUUGACUACUCGUACUGGUCCCAUACCUCG